rnacentral:lncRNA from 10 species
CCUGGUCACAGGACUAUACUGACCUGGAGGUCAGGGUGCCAGUACCCAAGCACGUGGUGAAGGGAAAGCAGGUCAUGGGUGAGACCCAUUGAAGCCCCAUCCAGUCCUGAGAGGCAAAGCAAAGAACCCAGGUCACAGCGAUGAAGUGGACGGCCAGGCCUGUGUGCUGUGGGGCUCUUCCAUGGAGCAGGGAGCCAUGUCCUAUAAGUACCGCAUGCUAACCGAUUGCGCCACUGGAGCCACACCAUGUCAUGAUGUACCUGUAACAUUCGCAACUUGAGUUUCAAACACUAAAGUUUCUGAAACCUCCAUCUA